UCCCGUUGAUCCUGCGGGAGGUUGCUGCUAUUAGAGUUCGACUAAGCCAUGCAAGUCUUCUAGCAAUAGAGGCGAAAUGCUCAGUAACACGUCGAUAAUCUGCCCUAUAGUCAGGGAUAACCUCGGAAAACUGAGGCUAAUACCUGAUAGGUGAUAUAUUCUGGAAUGAUUUAUCACUCAAAUUCGAGCUAUAGGAUGAGUCGGCGGCGGAUUAGGCUGUUGGCGGGGUAAUGGCCCACCAAACCAAAGAUCCGUACGGGCCAUGAGAGUGGUAGCCCGGAGAGGGACACUGAGAUACUGGUCCCAGCCCUACGGGGUGCAGCAGGCGCGGAACCUUUACAAUGCACGCAAGUGUGAUAAGGGGACUCCAAGUGCUUAUGCUUAGCAUAGGCUUUUGCCAAGACUAAAUAUCUUGGCGAAUAAGUGGUGGGAAAGACUGGUGCCAGCCGCCGCGGUAACACCAGCGCCACAAGUGGCAAUCACGAUUAUUGGGCCUAAAGCGUCCGUAGCCGGUCUGGCAAAUCUCUUGUGAAAUCGUAAUGCUUAACUUUGCGAAUUGCAGAAGACACUACCAGACUCGGAACCGGGAGGGGUCUGAAGUAUUCCAAGGGGACCGGUAAAAUGGGAUAAUCCUUGGAGGACUACCGAUGGCGAAGGCAUCAGACCAGAACGGAUUCGACGGUGAGGGACGAAAGCCAGGGGAGCAAACCGGAUUAGAUACCCGAGUAGUCCUGGCCGUAAACGCUGUGAGUUAGGUGUUGCAUAAACUACGGGUUUGUGCAGUGUCGAAAAGAAGUUGUUAAACUCACCGCCUGGGAAGUACGGUCGCAAGACUGAAACUUUAAGGAAUUGACGGGGGAGCACCACAAGGGGUGCAGCGUGCGGUUUAAUCUAACUCAACACAGAGAACCUCACUAGAUGCGACGGCAGGAUGAAGGUCAGUCUGAAGGGCUUACCUGACGAGCCGAGAGGUAGUGCAUGGCCGUCGUCAGCUCGUGCUGUAAAGUGUCCUCUUAAGUGAGGCAACGAGCGAGACCUGUAUCCACAAUUGCUAACAACUGCUUGCAGGAUUGAGCACAUUGUGGAGACUGCCCUGGAAACAGGGAGGAAGGUGCAGGCUACGGUAGGUCUGUAUGCUCCGAAUCUUCUAGGCUACACGCGCGCAACAAUGGUAGGGACAAUGGGAUGCAACUCCGAAAGGAGAAGCUAAACCUCUAAACCCUAUCUCAGUCCAGAUUGAGGAUUGCAACUCAUCCUCAUGACGACGGAAUCCCUAGUAACCAGAAUUUAUCAGAUUCCGGUGAAUAUGUCCCUGCUCCUUGCACACACCGCCCGUCAAGCCAACCGAGCAGGGUUUUGAUAAAAUUCAGUUUAUUUGAUUGAAUUGAAUCUAAGCUCAGUGAGGUGGGCUAAGUCGUCACAAGGUA
rnacentral:rRNA from 1 species